rfam:Opisthocomus hoazin contig98057, whole genome shotgun sequence.
AAAAAGGUUUUUUUAAAAACUACCUUGAGUUGUAAAGGAUUAUGG